rnacentral:rRNA from 1 species
AAUAGAUACCCAGGUAGUCCACGCCGUAAACGAUGUCGACUUGGAGGUUGUUCCCUUGAGGAGUGGCUUCCGGAGCUAACGCGUUAAGUCGACCGCCUGGGGAGUACGGCCGCAAGGUUAAAACUCAAAUGAAUUGACGGGGGGCCCGCACAAGCGGUGGAGCAUGUGGUUUAAUUCGAUGCAACGCGAAGAACCUUACCUACUCUUGACAUCCAGAGAACUUAGCAGAGAUGCUUUGGUGCCUUCGGGAACUCUGAGACAGGUGCUGCAUGGCUGUCGUCAGCUCGUGUUGUGAAAUGUUGGGUUAAGUCCCGCAACGAGCGCAACCCUUAUCCUUUGUUGCCAGCGGUCCGGCCGGGAACUCAAAGGAGACUGCCAGUGAUAAACUGGAGGAAGGUGGGGAUGACGUCAAGUCAUCAUGGCCCUUACGAGUAGGGCUACACACGUGCUACAAUGGCGUAUACAAAGAGAAGCGACCUCGCGAGAGCAAGCGGACCUCAUAAAGUACGUCGUAGUCCGGAUUGGAGUCUGC